AUGAGAAUGCGUACAGCAUCCGAAUCCGAUGCUGAAAUCCAAACCCUUGGCGCCACCACGUCAUACCCCCCACUCCUCGCCGCCGGCGCCCGGGCCCUCCUACCCUCCGCCUCCGUGCCGCCACCGCCAUGGCGGGAGCAGCCCACCCUCCGGGGCGUCGCCGUCGCGGCGGCGCUGGGCUCGCUGCUCUGCGUGGUGAUCCACCGCCUCAACCUCACCGUCGGGGUCAUCCCGGCCCUCAACGUCGCCUCCGGCCUCCUCGCCUUCUUCCUCACCACCGCCUGGCGGGCCGCCGCCGGGAGGCUAGGGUUCGGCCGCGGGAGCCCGUUCACCAGGCAGGAGAACACCGUCAUCCAGACCUGCGCCAUCGCGUGCGGCGGCCUCGCGUUCAGCGGGUGCUCGGCAUCGUACAUCUUCGCGAUGGAUAGGAAGACGUAUGAGCUCGUCGGGCCUGACUAUCCGGGUAACCGAGUGGAAGACGUCAAAGAUCCCUCGCUUGGUUGGAUGAUCGGUUUCCUGUUCCUCAUUGCUCUCCUCGGGCCAUUUGCUAUUGUCAUGCUACGAAAGGUAUUGGUGGUUGAUUACAAGCUUGCAUUUCCUGGUGGGACAGCUACAGCACUGAUGAUUAAUAGCUUGCAUGGAGAACAAGAAGCUGAUGUUACAGGAAAGAAAGUCCUUUGCCUUGUAAAGUACAUGAGCCUGAGUUUUGCCUGGAGCUUCUUUAAGUGGUUCUUUAGUGGUGUUGGUGACUCUUGUGGUUUUGACAAUUUCCCAACAUUUGGAGCUGCAGCUUUUAAGAACACGUUUUAUUUCAACUUCAAUCCCAGUUAUGUUGGAUAUGGUCUUAUUUCUCCCCAUAUUGUUAACUGCUCAGUUUUUCUCGGGUCAGUCAUAUCAUGGGGUUUUCUUUGGCCAUUUAUCGCUACGCAAUCUGGCGAUUGGUACCCAGAUAACCUUAGUAGCAGUGACUUCAGAGGCCUAUAUGGUUACAAGGUUUUUGUAGCCAUUUCCAUCAUACUUGGAGAUGGCCUCUACAACUUGGUCAAAAUCUUUGUUGUCAUUGCAAGAGAAAUCUGUAUUGUGCAAUUAAAAAAAGGUGAUCAGCCUGUUCAUGCUCUUCAAGAUAAUAAGAACUCUAGACAAUCAAGGGAUGAUGAGCUUCAGAUUGAGAUGUUCUUCAAAGAUAGGAUACCCACACGGUUUGCUGUUUCUGGUUACAUUGUACUUGCAGCAAUAUCCACCGCAGCUGUGCCCACCAUAUUUCCCCAGCUGAAGUGGUAUGUGCUUGUCUGCUACUUACUUGCUGAAGUGGUAUCUUGUGCUUGUCUGCUACUUACUUGGUCCGGCCAUUGCCUUCUGCAACUCCUACGGGAUGGGCCUCACAAACUUGAACCUUGCACCCACCUAUGGCAAGAUUGCCCUCUUUAUAUUCGCCUCGCUCGUCGGUAG
rnacentral:rRNA from 1 species